GUGGUUACUUUGGCAGCACAUAGACAAAAAUUGGAAUGAUACAGAGAAGAUUAGCAUGGCCCCUAUGUAAGCAUGAUGUAAAUUCGUGAAAUAGUCCAUAUUUAA
ensembl:snRNA U6 U6 spliceosomal RNA